rnacentral:lncRNA from 1 species
UAGCUAGCCACACUGCCAGAAAAAGCGACGCUCGGAGACCUCGCAAGGUGGGUCCAUUGGUGCGUGGAAUGCCCUCCCGCAAACUAUGGUU